UUCUUUUUCUGCUUUCUGAGCAGUUAGAACAGAAGAAAAUGGUGUGGACAAUGGACCUAGUGAUAGACCUUCUGAACGUGGCAGAAGAGGGCGUGGUAGAGGAUUUGGAGGACGGGGUCGGGGCAGAAUUGCUGGAAGAUUUUCUGCACAAGGCAUGGGAACUUUUAAUCCUGCAGACUACACAGAACCAACAGUCAAUGAUGGCUUUGGGGGCAAACCAGAAGUUUGGGAAACAGGUCAAAAUGAGGAGGAGGAUGUAACUGGUAAACUACACGCGACAAUG